rnacentral:rRNA from 1 species
UACAGGGGGUGCAAACGUUGCUCGGAAUUAUUGGGCGUAAAGCGCGCGUAGGCGGCUACUUAAGUCGGAUGUGAAAGCCCCUGGCUCAACUGGGGAAGUGCACCCGAAACUGAGCAGCUAGAGUACGAAAGAGGGUCGCGGAAUUCCCGGUGUAGAGGUGAAAUUCGUAGAUAUCGAGAGGAACACCAGUGGCGAAGGCGAGUCCCUGGACAACACCUGACACUGAGGCACGAAAGCUAGGGGAGCAAACAGG